AGGGGUGUGAUGUAGAACCUGAAAUCUGAAUUCCACCUGAUGGUAUUAGUAUUCAUACUGCCUGACCCCU